rnacentral:rRNA from 1 species
CCUACGGGAGGCAGCAGUGGGGAAUAUUGGACAAUGGGGGAAACCGUGAUCCAGCGACGCCGCGUGAGUGAAGAAGUAUUUCGGUAUGUAAAGCUCUAUCAGCAGGGAAGAUGAUGACGGUACCUGACUAAGAAGCCCCGGCUAACUACGUGCCAGCAGCCGCGGUAAU